rnacentral:misc_RNA from 1 species
UCUGUGGGGUUGCUGCAGUGGUUGAAGCAUUGAGAGUUGGUGGCUUUCCAGGCUGGGACAUGGUUUUCCUCAAAGGUGAUGAAUCCAAGCUCUCAAUAUCUGAAAGCUUGAUUGAUCUUGACCUUUUCAUUUUCUUCUUCAUAUCGGGUCCUCUGUUCUUGCCAUCCUGGUGCUGGCAAGAGGUUGGUUUGAGGUUCCCCAGCAGCUUCUCGGAUUUAACAUGAUCAGCUUGGAUUCCAAGCUUGCUGGGUACCUUUCUUUGUACCAUCUUCAAAGAAAAUCAAGAAACAUGGAUCAAAGCCGAAGGUUAAAGGUAUAGGUUUUGUCACCUUGGAGAUGGAGGUAUGAAGCCAUGGAAGAAAAGCAGUUUCCUUGCGGUUUGUGUUGGG